ACGAAAUCUCUUAACACGAGUAAUUAUCGACCAUCAGCACCACACCAAUCACCUGAUACCGUGAAGCGAAACGAAAGAAAUGCAAAUGCUACAAAAUGUUAAACCGUGUCACGCAUAUGAAACUAGAUUGAAGACGUUUGAAGCACCAGAGAAGAUUUACAGCCGAUGGCGCGGACGAUUAUAUUUUUUGGUGGACAACUUUCACGAGGUCUAGGUCACAAA